CCUAGUGUCUUCUCUCCUGGUGAGGUCUGAGAAUGAUGAUUAAAGUCUUAUGUUCUGUUAUGCCACGAGUUGCCAUGGAAAUGAGCUUGAGGCUGCAGAUUUAGUGAAGUAUCCUAUCUUGUGAAACAAAGACAAGAGGGAAGUGAUGCUGUGGGCCAGAAGACUUAUGUGAGAGUCUGUUGCCUGAGAUCAGCCGAGGUGGCUGGAGUGCAGUAGGUGUGCUGCUGGAGUGGAGCUUCCCAUUUAGUUAUGUCACCCAGACUGUGAGCCUCAAGGCUGUUUGAAGUGAGGGAAAAAAAAAAAAAAAAAGCAUGUCUUGAGUCAUGACAAUGCCCAGCAUUUGGAAGGAGAUGUAGGAACUGGAGGAGCUACCACCACCUGGAGGGAGUUUGGAAGUGUUCAUGAGGAGUGCACGGUGCGGAGAAGUAGGGUGAUAAAAGUGCCACUAAACAAGAGGAAUUCCUCAGGGGAGAACUGAACACCAGCACAGCAGAUGCUUAUUUGACAGAAAGUUUCCAUCAGCUCCAGAGAAUGGGUCCCGUAAAUAGCCUUUGUGGUUCUCAGAUGGAGUACUUGCAAAAUGGAAUUGAUUAAAAGGCUACUAAUAUUUUCCCGAGGAAGGAACACAUACAAGAGAGAAGGAAUAAUGAACUUGAAAGCAUCAAGCUACUUAAAAAUAAGGUUCACUGCCACCUCCCCCACCAGACGUUAUUGUCCCUGAGAGAGUACACGUACAGUUCACUCUGGAAGCUACACAGCUGAAGCACUGGCAACAGAAGAAGCAGAAUAUGCAUGGCUGUCAUUUUAGCAAUUUUCUCUUCAGCAGUGUUAAUGUGCAUGAAAGAGGGGCUAUCGCCUGAUGACUCCACACCUAUGAAACAGUUCACUUUGGAUAGUGAAAACCUAGAUGAAGUAUCAGAGCCCUCAGGAAGAUGAACAGAGGCACCCAGAGGACUGUGAAUACUGGCAGGACUCCUCAAGAUUGAUUUGUGCAGUGCUGGAAGAUGAUAGUAGGGACUUUAAAUCCAUACUUCAGGAGGCCUGGAAAUCAUCUAGCUGGAGCAAAGAGACGGCAACAGGGUCUCCAAAUGGGUACAGCCAGCAGCAUCACUGCAGAAGGUGGGAGCCUGCCCACCAAGCACAUCAGUUUUCACAGAAGUUUCUGACUUGAAUAGUAUCCUUGGAAAUGACCCACUGGUUAAAAACAAAACAAUAACAAAGCCCUGUGAAGAACAGCAGUUUGAGUUUCCAUGCAUGUCAUUACCUUCAAAAGCCAUCAGAGCCUGCGCUGUGUCUGUGCAGCACUGCAGAGAAGACAGAGAAGUUGGAAGAGAGGACUGGCAGCAACGAGGAUACACAAAGAUACCAUCAAAUGUUGUCCAGACUGCUGGUAAGUACAUCUGUCUGUGCUCCAGAUUCCAAGCAAACAACUUGCAGUGAGACUUCAUGCCUUCGCUGGGCUGGGAUGCUGCAGUUCGCAGCAAUGAGGGGUAGCACUGUGCAGCCACACCGCAAGAGCAAAACCAGUAGGAAGAAAAUAGUAAACAACCCACCCGAAAGCUCAGGGGCUCUAAGUUCAGACAGCUGCCUGUGCUUUUACCCUGCACAGCACUAGAGGAUGGGACUGCUGUUUGCACACAGAUAGCUGCACCCCAGCUAUGCUGCUGGAUUUCGUUUUCCUUGGUGCUAGGCAGCAGCCAGGAGCUGACGUCUGUAGACCUAGCGGACUUGAAGCUUGCUGUUAUGCCACUCUAUUCAGACCAAACAUGUAAUUCUUAAAAUGCCUAUGAGAGGUGAUCUAGAGCCUUUGGCAUAUCCUCAGGGAAGAAUCAGCCAUAGGAACUCACACGACCUGUUUUAAACAAUUGCUGGAGAAGCUCACAGGGAUAUUAUUGACAGACUGGUAGAGUGGCUUGCCAUACAGGAGCUCUGGUGUUACAAACUAUUGGAGUUGGGCAGCCAUUGAGAGGAGUGAAAAAGCAGACUUUGAGACUUGCGAACAUCUGCCUGUCCCCAGCUUACCUACCCUCACC